GAUGAACGCUGGCGGCGUGCCUAAUACAUGCAAGUCGAGCGAACAGACUAGGAGCUUGCUCCUUCGACGUUAGCGGCGGACGGGUGAGUAACACGUAGGUAACCUACCUAUAAGACUGGGAUAACUUCGGUAAACCGGAGCUAAUACCUGAUAAUAUUUCGAACCGCAUGGUUCGAUAGUGAAAGAUGUCUUUGCUCUCACUUAUAGAUGGACCUGCGCCGUAUUAGCUAGUUGGUAAGGUAACAGCUUACCAAGGCAACGAUACGUAGCCGACCUGAGAGGGUGAUAGGCCAAACUGGAACGGAGACACGGUCCAGAAUCCUACGGGAGGCAGCAGUAGGGAAUCUUCCGCAAUGGGCGAAAGCGUGAAGGAGCAACGACGCGUGAGUGAUGAAGGUAUUCGGAUCGUAAAACUCUGUUAUUAGGGAAGAACAAACGUGUAAGUAACUGUGCAAGUCUUGAAGGUACCUAAUCAGAAAGCCACGGCUAAAUAAGUG
rnacentral:rRNA from 1 species